UACGAAGGACCCGAGCGUUAUCCGGAUUUAUUGGGUUUAAAGGGUGCGUAGGCGGAUUAGUAAGUCAGUGGUGAAAGCCCAUCGCUUAACGGUGGAAUUGCCAUUGAUACUGCUAGUCUUGAGUAUGGUUGAGGUGGGCGGAAUGUGUCAUGUAGCGGUGAAAUGCUUAGAUAUGACCCAGAACACCAAUUGCGAAGGCAGCUCGCUAAACCAUAACUUACGCUGAUGCACGAAAGCGUGGGGAGCAAACAGG
rnacentral:rRNA from 1 species